UGUAUGAAGGCAUCACUGACAUCAGCAAUUGGAAAGUAAAGAAAACAGUCCAGAUAGAAAUCCUGCUACUCCCUCUGUGCUAUGAGAGGAGUCCCAAAGCAUAAUCUCGAGCGCAGUCUCAUGGACAUUGCUUUUGACAUCAUCAUCAAAAUCCUGGACUGUUUCUAAGAGUUUUUGCCACUGUGGUGCACAGAAGUGGGAUGGAAACAAAAUACAGAGGCAAUGCACACCAAAUCUUGGUGGUUGAGGAGCUGCUGAACACCUUGAUGGACAGGACUGGGAUACAGAAGAGCUUCUUUGACAGGAUGUGACUGGUUUGACUGAAUAUGAGAGCUGAGUUUUCCCCAGGAUCUUCAGAUG